CGCAUUGUUCAGAGAUAAGUAGUGGAUUUGUAUCUAGACGACACGGUGCGACACCUUCGUUCAACUUUUCAUCCACGCGAAGUAUGUGGAUAUAUUAAAAGCCGCACAAUUUCAGAUACGUUCUGGGGCUGGUUCCCUGCACUUUUCGGUAGAUUGGAAAGAUGAAAAUAAGCGUGCAGUGCAUUUCAUAAGACUGAACCAAGGAAAAUUCCGCUAAAGCUUUCUCUAAACCGCUCAACAUCCCAGCAUAAAGAAAUUCUCACGACAUAUAUGGCAGAUCGACGAAGACAGGCCUAAACUUUGUAAUGACUACAAGUUGGAAACUCUACCAAUCUCUCUAUCAGAGAAGGUGGUUUGGUUUGAAUGCAGCUACGUACUAUGCACCUGACUUGGCUAUCUACCUUUGUACCAGGUUUGAGUCAGAUGCAAAAGCGCAUGUGCGGUCACUAUAUCUUUAUGUUAUGCAUAAUUAAGUUCGUAGUAAAGUGCAUUCAGUAAAAAGUACAAGUGGCAAUGUAGAUCGCGCUCAAAUGUUAUUCAAUAUAGAAUUGAUACCUAGA